GGUAGCGUGGCCGAGCGGUCUAAGAAAAAUGGUCUUAAGCACCAGUCAUUUCGAUGGCGUGGGUUCGAAUCCCACCGCUGCCA
rnacentral:tRNA from 1 species